GCAAUGGUGGUUCAGUGGUAGAAUUCUUGCCUUCCACGCGGGAGACCAGGGUCAGAUUCCCGGCCAUACCC
rnacentral:tRNA from 1 species